GCUAUACAUGCAGUCGAGCGGACAGAUGGGAGCUUGCUCCCUGAUGUUAGCGGCGGACGGGUGAGUAACACGUGGGUAACCUGCCUGUAAGACUGGGAUAACUCCGGGAAACCGGGGCUAAUACCGGAUGGUUGUCUGAACCGCAUGGUUCAGACAUAAAAGGUGGCUUCGGCUACCACUUACAGAUGGACCCGCGGCGCAUUAGCUAGUUGGUGAGGUAACGGCUCACCAAGGCGACGAUGCGUAGCCGACCUGAGAGGGUGAUCGGCCACACUGGGACUGAGACACGGCCCAGACUCCUACGGGAGGCAGCAGUAGGGAAUCUUCCGCAAUGGACGAAAGUCUGACGGAGCAACGCCGCGUGAGUGAUGAAGGUUUUCGGAUCGUAAAGCUCUGUUGUUAGGGAAGAACAAGUGCCGUUCAAAUAGGGCGGCACCUUGACGGUACCUAACCAGAAAGCCACGGCUAACUACGUGCCAGCA
rnacentral:rRNA from 1 species